rnacentral:lncRNA from 1 species
UUUUUUUGCCAAAAAGAAAUAUAACAGGAGACACUACAACAGAAUUAGAUUAUAGAGACACAUAUUUAAAACAUUUUGUAUAAGUGUCAUAUUUAUGCCAAAAUUAAAAAAAAAACGUACUAAUACUUAAAUAUAAAGUCCAAUCAAAUCAAAAAUAAAAGGAUACUCUACUCAAUCCACCCCAUCCAGCCUAUUCGGCCCGAUUAUAAACAAAAAAGAAAAAGAAAAAAAAAAGAAAAGAAAAAUCGAUUAUUAUUUCUCCUUCUCCCCUCAUUCAAUCGACUGAAAUCCUAAACGAAGAUCCCCUCAUCUCGUCCUCCUCCGUCACCGCAGCCAACGGGAUAGAGUUCCGACGGUUGCUAGAUGCUUAAAUAAAUACUGAUAAAUUAGCAGCACUCUUUUAGAUUAUAGUAACACUCUUAACUGUCACUAUAUACCUAGCGACCCCACAUAUAGCAACACUUUUUAAAAGUGUCGGUAAUUUAACCGGCAGCACUUUUUUUGACUUAUACCGAUAUUUAAAAGUGUCGCUAUAGACCGUUUUUGUUGUAGUGAGAUAUAAUACGCAAUUAAUAAGAUUAGAUAUUUUUCUGCCUAAUUGCUGGAUCUAAUACCUUGUUCCCACCGAAUGAUAUUUCCAUGAUUUUUUUUUUUUCUUAAAAGGGAAUUGUGUGGGAGGCUUUUGAUUACCUUACAAUGCGCUCCAAAAUACCACAUAGAUUCAUCAACAUAUUUAGAAUAUAUGAAAACAUUGUAUUGUGAAAAUUUUUUGGUAACACUCAUUUAUCUAUUGUUUGAAACCGUGCCCCAAAUUAAUAUUACACAAUCAUUCUCUCGACUUCAGAGACAAAUUGGUUGCAUUCAGUUACAAUUAUACUAUAAUUGUAACUAUGUACAAAUACAAAUUUAGUAUUUAAUUACAUGUAUUUAACUUCAACUGUUAUAAUAGGAUCUGCAAGAAAAAGCCCAACUGUAGCAGUUGGAACUACACUCAAAUUCACAGCAGUUCCAACUGCAGCAGUCGGAGAGAGUAAUUUUAAGCAAAAAUUAAGCUUACCUCCCUAAUUAUCUUUUAAACAAAAAAUAUUUUUCAUUUUUUACAAUGGAGAUAAUUGUACAAUCAUAUAUAUAUAAUAAUAAAAUUUAAAAAAUCAUUUCUCAACUGCAAAUAACCAAACAAAUUAUUUAUAAUUGCAGCGCUUUCUACUAUAUCCAACCAAACAAAAUACAUGUAGUUAUAAUUACUAUCUUUUCUUUUUUGAGAGAUAGAUAGUACGUUACCUGUUUCGUUUAUUUUAUUUAGAAAUAAACUUAGCUGGAAAUGUGAAUCAACUAGGAUUCGAACUUGGGACAUCGGAUAUCAACCAUCAAAUUCUUUGCCACUUAAUUGCUCUAGAAACGAUCGGUAUAUAAUUACUGUAUAUUCAAUCGUAUAUAUUUUCAACUGCACUGUAUUUAUAAUUAUAUCUAAUCAAAUCAAUACUGCCUCUGAUAAAUGAUAAAAUGGAAUGUAGAAAAUAUUAGAAGAAAAAAAAAAAGAAAAGAAAAAAAAGAGAGGGGGGUAGACGACAAAUUGUCCUCUAUCAUGAGCACAGUGGUUAAGUUGGAAGUUUCAAAGAGUUUUGAAGUGGCACUUUCUCAUUCAUUCUAGAUUAACGUACAAAAAGAGGCAAAUUAAUUUAAUUUUAAUUGGAACCUUCGAGCGGGACGCGCGCAUCCACCAAUCGCAUUAAUGCGCAGAACAUCGAUCUCUGGUUAGGUUAGGUUCGCGGGGCCAGGCGUGAUGUGGACCGUUCGAUACGGGGAAGCUCCACCGUCUCUAUCUUACGCAGGGGGUUCUAAAAGUCCGACUUCACGGCCACCAAUACAGCAUGGGUUUGUUUGGUUUUGCUCAAACUUUUAUUUUUAUUUUUAUUAUCAUUUUUGUUUGGGUUUCUAUUUUUUUGUUUAAGUUGUGUAAGACUUCGUUUAAAAUUGUAGACAAAAUGUACAGACUUGCGAUGGGAAAGUACGGGAAAAAAUGUUAGAGUUUUUUUUUUUUUUUUUUUGAGAGAUAGGUAGCACGCUACCCGCUUCGUUUAUUUCAUUUAGAAAUAAACUUAACUGGAAAUGUGAAUCAACUAUGAUUCAAACUUAAGACUCGAGUGCCAACCACCAAGUCCUUUGCCACUUGCUCUAGGGGUGGUCGGUAAUAUGUAAGAGUUAAUUGUACACAGAUCAUGAAUUAUAAAUAUAUUUUUACAAAAUUCAACUUUCAUAUAUUAUUCUUGUAAAGUCCUAAUACUUUCAAAUAUGUCCCUGUCGUUAGAAUUCGUUAGAAAAUUUUAGUUAACCAUAUGUUAAAUACUUAAUUCCGAUUAGUUUAUGAGAUAACUUGAUAUUUUUAUCCAUCUUAUAUGAAAAUAUAAACGGUUCUCUAACGGUAACAAACCAGAGGAAAAUAUUUGAAAAUAUUAGAACUUUUAUAAAAAUAAUAUAUAAAAGUUGAAUUUUGUAGAAAUAUAUUUGCAGGGACCUACCUCUAUGCAAUUAACCCAAUAUAUUAUGAGCGGUGAAAUAGUGUCAUAAAAAGGUAUUACUUUUAUUUUUAAAAGUGGUAACAUGUUAGUAUACCCAAUGUCCCAACUACUAAGUUUGAAGGAUAGUUGUUUCAUAUUUCCAGCUAAUAAAAUUCUAGCUAUAUCAUAUUUUCAGCUAAAUUUAUUUUUAAAAUGAUGAAUGACACAUGUAGCAUGCUACCUUUCUCCCAAAAAAUAAAAGUGAUACAUUUCAAACCGAUAGAACUAAUUCCGCUCAAUUAUAAUUCUUGCAGUCUCACAGAAGAACAUAGAAUUGUAUAUGUUUUUGCAUGCUAAUUGGAUACACGGUGCAUAUUGAAUUAUGAAAUGAGAUGGGGGCAACUGAAGGCACAGUGCAUAGGCGUACGUAUGAAUCCAUUAGGUAUCAACGAAACUUUUCGAAAGUAUUAUCAAAUGAUUAAAUUUGAAAAAUUAAAAGAUUAAAUAGUAAAAAUAUUUGUAAAUUAGAUUGCUGACUCUAAAUAACUCAAAAUAGAUGUUAGUUCUGAACUUUUUUUUUUUUUUUUGAAACAGAUAGAUAGCACGCUACCCGCUUCGUUUAUUUCAUUUAGAAAUAAACUUAGCUGAAAAUGUGAAUCAACUAGAAUUCGAAUUUGGGUCUCGGGGUACCCCCUUAUUAGUGCACUUGCAUUUCUUAUUAGUGCACUUGCAUUUGUUUCAAUGAAGCAACUCAUAUAUAUUGUCCUUAAUUCUAUAUAUGCUGUUAGCUUAAGUGAAUGCAAUGUACCUCCUUGUCAUAUCAAUAUUUAAAUAUGUUUUGUAGUAUAUAACAACCUAUUCAACAAGAAUUACUCAAUAUGGAAAUGAAUGUUUUUUGUUACAGAUAUAUGAGCAUGAAGUAGAUGAAGAAAUUGUUGCGUGCAACGAGCGUACAUAUCUGUACAACUUACACACUGUAUUCAUAAAUAGUUGACGACGCAAAUCUAAAUUCUACAGAUGUAACAUAGAAUAUCUAAAAGUUCUAUAUAUGUAUAAAUAUUAUAAGUUUUGAGAAACUAUUAGUUUCAAUGCAAUAAUUCUCGCUCAAAAAAGAAAAAAAUCAAUGCAACAAUUAAUACAGAAGAGAACAUUGUUUUUAUCACAACAAUAGGUAUUCAAAAUUUAUAUUUUUUGAUAUAAGGGCAUAGAACACAUCCAACGAUUAAAUUCAAAUUCUAAACUCUUUCACUACAACAGAAUUAGGUUAUAGGGACACAUGUUUGGGACACUUUUGAGUAAGUGUCCCAUUUAUGCUAAAACUUAAAAAAAACAUCUACUAAUGCCUAAAUAAAAAGCCCAAUCCAACCAAAAAUAAAAGAUUACUCUACUCAACCCACCACACCCAGUCCAUUUGGCCCGAUUACAAACAGAAAAGAAAAAAAAAAAGAAAAAUUAAUUACCAUCUUUUCUUCUCUCUUUACUCAAUCCACUGAAAUUCUAGACGAAGAGCCUUUCCUGUCGUUCUCCUCCGCCAGCGCAGCCAACGAGAUAGAGUUUCGACAGUUGCUAAAUGUUUAAAUAAGUGUUGGUAAAUUAGUAGCACUCUUUUAGGUUAUAGCGACACUUUUUAACUGUCACUAUAUACCUAGCGACCCCACAUAUAGCAACACUUUUUAAAAGUAUCAGUAAUUUUAGCUAGCAGCACUUUUUUGACAUGUACCUACAUUUAAAAGUGUCGCUAUAGACCGUUUUUGUUGUAGUGUUUAUAGUAAUUAAUAGGGGAUUUGAAAUGCAAUGUGAUGUAUUAAAUAUGAAAAUAUAAAAAUACCGUUCUCUACUAAUUUAUGCUUUUUGAAAAUAAUAGCUAUUCCAUAAAAAUGCCGUUCUCUACUUUAUGCUUUUG